rnacentral:rRNA from 1 species
GAAACUGCGAAUGGCUCAUUAAAUCAGUUAUCGUUUAUUUGAUAGUACUUCACUACAUGGACAACUGUGGUAAUUCUAGAGCUAAUACAUGCUAAAAACCCCGACUUCGGAAGGGGUGUAUUUAUUAGAUAAAAAACCAAUGCCCUCCGGGGCUCCUUGGUGAAUCAUAAUAACUUAACGAAUCGCAUGGCCUUGAGCCGGCGAUGGUUCAUUCAAAUUUCUGCCCUAUCAACUUUCGAUGGUAGGAUAGUGGCCUACCAUGGUUUCAACGGGUAACGGGGAAUUAGGGUUCGACUCCGGAGAGGGAGCCUGAGAAACGGCUACCACAUCCAAGGAAGGCAGCAGGCGCGCAAAUUACCCAAUCCCGACACGGGGAGGUAGUGACAAUAAAUACUGAUACAGGGCUCUUUCGGGUCUUGUAAUUGGAAUGAGUACAAUUUAAAUCCCUUAACGAGGAACAAUUGGAGGGCAAGUCUGGUGCCAGCAGCCGCGGUAAUUCCAGCUCCAAUAGCGUAUAUUAAAGUUGUUGCAGUUAAAAAGCUCGUAGUUGAACCUUGGGCCUGGCUGGCCGGUCCGCCUCACCGCGUGUACUGGUCCGGCCGGGCCUUUCCUUCUGGGGAGCCGCAUGGCCUUCACUGGCCGUGUCGGGGAACCAGGACUUUUACUUUGAAAAAAUUAGAGUGUUCAAAGCAGGCCUUUGCUCGAAUACAUUAGCAUGGAAUAAUAGAAUAGGACGUGCGGUUCUAUUUUGUUGGUUUCUAGGACCGCCGUAAUGAUUAAUAGGGACAGUCGGGGGCAUCCGUAUUCAAUUGUCAGAGGUGAAAUUCUUGGAUUUAUUGAAGACGAACUACUGCGAAAGCAUUUGCCAAGGAUGUUUUCAUUAAUCAGUGAACGAAAGUUAGGGGAUCGAAGACGAUCAGAUACCGUCGUAGUCUUAACCAUAAACUAUGCCGACUAGGGAUCGGUGGGUGUUAUUAUUUUGACCCCAUCGGCACCUUACGAGAAAUCAAAGUUU